rnacentral:rRNA from 1 species
GGGAGCCUGAGAAACGGCUACCACAUCCAAGGAAGGCAGCAGGCGCGCAAAUUACCCAAUCCCGACACGGGGAGGUAGUGACAAUAAAUAACAAUACAGGGCUCUUACGGGUCUUGUAAUUGGAAUGAGUACAAUUUAAAUCCCUUAACGAGGAACAAUUGGAGGGCAAGUCUGGUGCCAGCAGCCGCGGUAAUUCCAGCUCCAAUAGCGUAUAUUAAAGUUGUUGCAGUUAAAAAGCUCGUAGUUGAAUUUCGGGGUUCUACCGUCGGUCGGGCUAACAAGUCUGUACUGGUGUGUAGAACUUCUACCUUCUGGGGAACUAUCAUGUUAUUAAUUUAGUGUGGUAGGAGACCAGGACCUUUACCUUGAAAAAAUUAGAGUGUUCAAAGCAGGCUUAAGUCUGAAUACAUUAGCAUGGAAUAAUAGAAUAGGACGGUGGUCCUGUUUUGUUGGUUUCUGAAUCACCGUAAUGAUUAAUAGGGAUAGUUGGGGGCAUUAGUAUUCAAUUGUCAGAGGUGAAAUUCUUGGAUUUAUUGAAGACUAACUUCUGCGAAAGCAUUUGCCAAGGAUGUUUUCAUUAAUCAAGAACGAAAGUUAGGGGAUCGAAGACGAUCAGAUACCGUCGUAGUCUUAACCAUAAACUAUGCCGACUAGGGAUCGGACGAUGUUAAAUUUUAUUGACUCGUUCGGCGCCUUACGGGA